rnacentral:pre_miRNA from 1 species
CAACUACUCCCUCUGUCCCAAAUUUCUUGUCUUAGAUUUGCCUAGAUAUGGAUGUAUCUAAUACUAAAAUGUGACUUGAUACAUCCGUAUCUAGACAAAUCUAAGCCAAGAAUUUUGGGAUGGAGGGAGUACUUU